AGGCCGUGGGAAACUGCGCUCAUUCGUGCGAAAUGGAAUUCCCUUUGCUUCAGUUCCGUAAUCGGGUUUUUCAGGACCCCGUUAGUGUGCCAGGGGCACCCUGUGUCAUGGGAAUAAAGAUCUCUACAGUCACUUCAAGCAUUUUUGCACCAAUAGAUUAAGGGAUGCCCUUGCUUCCUAGCCACCAAGAAAACUUCAGCAAUGACAGGAGAACUUCCAUAACUCACCUACCACAUCCCAGCUACCAGCACUGUACUCGAAUCCUCUGCC